rnacentral:RNase_P_RNA from 1 species
GUAAGCAAGACGAUUGCGGCCCCUCGUGGGCUGAGGAAAGUCCGAGCACCGCAGGGCAGGGUGCCGGGUAACACCCGGCGAUGGCGACAUCAGGGAAAGUGCAACAGAAACAAACCGCCUCCCGCGGGAGGUAAGGAUGGAAAGGCGAGGUAAGGAUCCGGCGACGGACCGGCCAUGUAAACCCCACCCGGUGCAAGAUUGGAAUGGGAGCAUUCAACAGCGGCCCGCUGCGCUCCUGAUAAUCGCAUGAGCCCUUUGGCAACAGAGGGCCUUAGAUAGAUAAUCGUCCGUGGGCAACCCCCAUGACAGAACUCGGCUUACUGCUUG